CUCCUAUUGUCCCAAUAUUCAUGGUAUCAAAAAUAACAUUUUGUGGCUCUAACAAAGUUGAUCAUUUUUUCUGUGAUUUAGUACCAGUUUUGAGAUUAUCCUGCAAUGGGGAUGGACUUGCUGAACUUGUAUGCUCAAUCUUUGCUUCAGCUGUCCUACUGAGUUCAUUUGGCAUUACUACUCUUUCCUAUACCCAUAUCACAUUUGCAGUCUGUCAAAUGUCAAAAUCUCAGAAUCUGCAGAAAAUGUUG